CCAGACUCCUACGGGAGGCAGCAGUCGGGAAUAUUGCGCAAUGGAGGAAACUCUGACGCAGUGACGCCGCGUGCAGGAAGAAGGUUUUCGGAUUGUAAACUGCUUUUAACAGGAAAGAAAAAAAUGACGGUACCUGUUGAAUAAGCUCCGGCUAACUACGUGCCAGCAGCCGCGGUAAUACGUAGGGAGCGAGCGUUAUCCGGAUUUAUUGGGUGUAAAGGGUGCGUAGACGGAAAUGCAAGUUAGUUGUGAAAUACCUCGGCUUAACUGAGGAACUGCAACUAAAACUAUAUUUCUUGAGUAUCGGAGGGGUUUGUGGAAUUCCUAGUGUAGCGGUGAAAUGCGUAGAUAUUAGGAAGAACACCGGUGGCGAAGGCGACAAACUGGACGAUAACUGACGUUGAGGCACGAAAGUGUGGGGAGCAAACAGGAUUAGAUACCCUGGUAGUCCACACCGUAAACGAUGGAUACUAGGUGUUGGCAAUGAAUAAUUGUCGGUGCCGGCGCUAACGCAAUAAGUAUCCCACCUGGGGAGUACGACCGCAAGGUUGAAACUCAAAGGAAUUGACGGGGGCCCGCACAAG
rnacentral:rRNA from 1 species